rnacentral:misc_RNA from 1 species
CCUACGGGUGGCAGCAGUGGGGAAUAUUGGACAAUGGGGGCAACCCUGAUCCAGCGACGCCGCGUGGGUGAAGAAGGCCUGCGGGUUGUAAAGCCCUUUCGGUGGGGAUAAAAAGCCUUGGUUUAACACACCAGGGUCUUGAUCUAACCCAAGAAAGAAGCACCGGCUAACUCUGUGCCAGCAGCCGCGGUAAUACAGAGGGUGCGAGCGUUAAUCGGAAUUACUGGGCGUAAAGCGCACGUAGGUGGCUUUGCAAGUCGAUUGUGAAAUCCCCGGGCUUAACCUGGGAACUGCAGUCGAGACUGCUUUGCUUGAGUAUGGGAGAGGGAGGUGGAAUUUCCGGUGUAGCGGUGAAAUGCGUAGAUAUCGGAAGGAACAUCAGUGGCGAAGGCGACCUCCUGGACCAAUACUGACACUCAAGUGCGAAAGCGUGGGGAGCAAACAGGAUUAGAUACCCCAGUAGUC